GAGCUCUGUGUCUGGCAGGGUUUGAAAGAUGUUGGCUGGACACAGCACAGUGCCUGGCACUCAGUAGGGGCUCCAGAAAUAUUUGGUAUUAAACAGCUGUUUAGUUGAACGGUGAAGUAGGGUGACUAAAGCAAGAAAUUUGGAGGCAGCUAGAACUGGUUGAAAUCACUUAGUAGCUGUGUGACAUUGAUAAAGUUACUUAACCUCUCUGAGCCUAAGUUUCCUCAUUUAUUAAAUGAGACUCUAGUAGAGUUGUUGUGGGGAUUAAAUGAGAUAAGAUACUGAUGCUUAAUACAGUGUAUAGUACGUAACAAAAUCUUAAUAAAGUUGCUAGCUGUGUCACCACAGGUAAGUUACAUGAGCUCUCUAAACCUGUUUCCUUCUCUGUUGUCAUAAGAAUUCAAUGAAAGGUUGUAUAGCUAGCCUAGUCCUUGGUGCAUCACGGGCACUUAGUAAAUGUUAGCCUGUCUCCCGCCUAGGUUCAUUACCCCUCCACCUCUUCAACGUCUCUUUCCUCUGCCCCCCAGCCUCUGUGAUCGCUGCCAUCCCUUCCAUGGCAUCUCAUCUCUCAUACCUUCUGUCUCCCAGCCUCUGACACUCCCAGCAACAAAAGCUCACAAGGUCUUUCGGUCCAUGGUUUCCUCAGGGUUCGGCUCUGAUGAGCAUGGGUGGGAGGGGGGCAACUGAGAAGGAGGCUGAGGACAGGACAGGUGUAGUCCUUGGACGAAAAUCCCAGUUCUGCUUUUGACAAAGGAUUUAAGGAUUCCGGCGUGUCUAGCCCUGUGUCUUGCCCUGGAGAACAAAGGCAGAGGGAUGUCUUCCUGAACAGCCCAGGCACAAAGCUGCCACCAUUCUUCCCAUUCCCUUCCUCCUGAUUUCCAAGUCCAGAGGUUGUCAAUAGCACUCUCAGCAGCUGAGCUUCCCUGAAAUCGGGGUGUGUGGAGGAGGGCAGGUGGCAGGUAAGAGAUACUAGUGCAAGCAAGAGGGCGUGUCCAGAGAGUCAGUUGUAGGAGAAGUCUCUGGAGCUUCGGGGCAGGAGGCAGAGCUGGCUCCCACAUAGGUGACCCCCUAGCACCGGCUUCACCAUAGGCCUGGGCCAGGCCACAGAAAACACCCUCUGGGCCUGGGAAGCAGAUUGAGCCAUUCAGUCUUUACACGUGGUCAGGUUUCUGCUUCAGUCACUUGAGUGCAGUUUCAUAAACCAAAUGAGAUCAAUGAGCUUGUCCUUUCCAGGCCUCUUUUUAAACAUUGGGAAAUGGUUUGGGGGCAUCUCAUCUGCUGCAUCUGCUGUGCUUCCCAAUGUCAGAUAUUAUUUACUUGGAGCAAAUAUAAACUAUUCUGUCCUAAAUAAACUCUGACACAGGAACAAGAGGACUUCAGGGCAAGAACCAUCUCCUUACCUUCCCUCUUGCUAGUGGGCACGGAUAUGUGACCUGGAGACCUAUUGCAUCAUGCAGGAACUGAGCCAGUCCAGAGCUGGCCAAGCCUGUGCGGAGAUGUUUAUUUACCCAGAGAUGAGAACCUGGAGGCCACACUAUGUGGUGGUUACUGUACCACGUAGGACAGCCCAGCUAGCGAAGUCCCUGGGGUUAGUGAACAACACACAAAAAUAAGGUUAUAUCCAUCCUCAAAGUGAAUAUGGGCAGGAGAGAAUCUGACAGCGGCAGAGGAGUCUGAAUUGGGUCAUGCACAGACACAAAGAGAGGAGCCCGUGGGGAAUACACAUCCUGGCGUUUCUGAUUUCGCACGAGAUCAGCUGAGAUUCGCUUAGUCUGGAGCAGCUCUCCACAGAAAAGGGCCUGGGGAGCUUUUUCUGCACACAGACUCCUGUCUGUGUCUCUGCCUGGGCCCAAGAGAAGUGAAGGAACAGAGGGGGUGGCUGCUGGAGGAGUUGGGACUUCUCAGACAGCUGCUCCCGUGGGUUGGAGUGCUAGGAGGGCUUGCUUUUCUGAAGCCUGAUAGGGUUGCUCUUUUGAGUUGAGGGAGAGGCCCCCCCCCAACCUUUUUUAUUCUCCUUGGAGUUUCUCUAGGGUCUCAGACCAGAGACACAUGACCGAUUCUAACCAUCUUCUCUGCAAAGAAGGCCAUGGGCCCACCUGUCUCUAAGACUAAUAGAGCCCCCUUCUCCUCACCUGAGAUUGGGAGACCUGGGGAGGCUCUAUGUGUGUGUGUGUGUGUGUGUGUGUGUGUGUGUGUGUGUGUGUGCACAUGCAUGUGUGUGCAUGCAGGAUGGGACAUCUAACUACCCACUGAAGAUUUGCUUCAAGUCCCGCCCCCAGUGUAUAUUCCCUAAAACCCAUUCCUGCCCCAUCUUCCCCCUGCCUUUCCCCCAUCUCCUUUGCCUUAAUUCCCCCCACAAUCCCUUUAGGUCUGUUUCUUUUCCUCCAACUGUUCACCCUCAACAAAGACAUGUAACUGAGAACCAUUCCCAGAGAAGACGGCCCAUCUUCCUUUCUUAAAAAGAUCAGUUGCCUGAUUUCCUUUGGGACCGCUGCCAUAUUUCUUUUAUAUUUCAUUCAUUCUCCAGACUCAGUGAUAAGGACAGGAACUAUUUAAAGGGGAGAAGGGAGGUUCUCCUUAAGGACCUAAUCAAAGGACAAGAUGAACGGUGCCUGCCGGAGAGAACGAGACAGCGUGGGAUGAGGGCGGGUGCCACGGUGGAUGUGCAGGGAUGUUCCCGUGAGCCCAGCAGGGUCUGGUGGGAAGAGCUCUGGUUAGGAGCCCAGGGAACUAGGUUAAAGUUCCAGCAUUGCAAAGACCUCCCAAGAGACCUCAGGCUAGUUGCUUCCCUCUCAGAGCACGAGUUGACUCACCAUGCAAUGGAUGGAAAGGCCAGAUUCACUCAUCUCUAAAUUGCCUUCCAGCUUGAAUUAUAAAUUCUGUGGGGAUGGAAAUGGGCUAAGGAAUUGAAUUUGGUUUCCUUGUGGUUAGCAACUUUUUUUUUUAAGUUACCGUUUCUUAAACAUCUCCUAAAGAUUACCAACAACACAUAUGUAAGUUUUUCUAAGCAUUUUACAUAUAUGGAUUCGUUGCCUUCCACAACAAUCCUAGGACAUAGGUACCAUUAGUAUCCCCAUUAUACAGAUUAAGAAACUGAGGUACAGGGAGGCUAAGUAACCAGCCCAGGCAGUGGAGCCGGGGUUCAAACCAGGCAGUCUGGCUGCAAAGUCCCUCUUCCUCACCACCACACUCAACAUUCCAGGCACUGUGCUAACUGUUUACACAAAUCCUCUCCAUUUUGCAGUUGAGAAACCCAAGACUCAGACCAGUUGGGCAACAGCUGAAGGUCACAUAGCUGGGAAGCAGUAGAGAUGAGAUUCAAAGUCGGCAGAGCUCCAGAGUCUCUGCUCUCCCCCACACCCUCCUGCAACCCUGCCAGACGCUCAGGCUUCCAAAGCAAGUUUAACCAAUAUCCCUGCAUUGCCACGCCUCUUCAGGCAAGUCAGCUUCUCCCCGCUGGGCCUCAGUUUCACCAUCUAGAAAAUGACUGGGGGAUUGGCCCAGCUGAUCUUUGAGGUCCCUUGGAGCUCUGUGAGUCUGUGAUGAGAAAGCCCAGUGCAUCUCUCGGAGGAGGGUAAUGUCACGUGCUUGCGAGAUGAGCGAAUGGGUGUCAUUACCAGGCAGCUCCAUUUUCAACGAGGCUCUUUCCACUUGGGGAAAUGGAUGGAAUCACCUAUUGCGUGAGUGCCUCAGCCCUCCCUCUAGCUCCCCACGGCCCAGAGCUAUUGCAGCUCUGGGUCCUUCAGACCCCUCUUGACGCAUUGUAGGUUGGACUGACCUGCUCUCUGGCUUGCAGAAGUCACGGCUCUGGGUGGCACCAAGGCACGAAAUGACACGGACACCUGGCCUGUGUGGGGGCCUUUGUCUGUCCCUCUCUCCCUGCUCCUCCACAGUCAGUAUCCACACUAUGGUUUGAAUAGGGCAUGGCAAGGCCCCAUCUCGGAAGCAGAGAGAGUCCACACCAGACACUGAAUCUGUUGGCGUCUUGAUCUUGGACUUCCAAUCCUCUAAAACUGUGAGAAAUACAUUUCUAUGGUUUGUAAAUUACUCCAUCGGUGGCAUUUUGUUGUACCAGCAGGAAGGGACUAUGACAUACACCACGGAGGCCACUGCUGCUACAGUGGCUAGCAGAGAGGAUCAUGGGUGGUUCCAGCUCUCAUGCCAGCAAAGGGUCUCAUCCCUGACCCCUAGUCCAGUAUGCUGUGGUCUCCAAGCCCACAGAAAGGCCCUCCCUCCAAACCCCAGCUUUCAGAGUCUAAGGGGCUGACAAAAGGUUAAGGGCUCUAGUUCUGGUCUGAGCUGGGACAGGUGAGCAGGCUACUGUGCAAGAGCUGCUAAAUGCAGAGUCCCCAGGUAUCGAGGUUACCCGGAAAAGUUGGCCUUCCCAAAGCUGCAGUAGGAUCAGCAUGUCCGGUUCAGUGCUGACUGUGCAGGCUUGGGGCCUAUCCCUUGAACUCUGGAAGGGUAUUUGCAAGAUGGACCUCCUGUCCUCAUCUUCCUUCUACCUUUCAGCCUCUUGGUCCUGUGUCACCAGACGGGCUCAGAGCAUUCCUGAGCAACUUUGUGGUUCUGAGCGUCUCUAAGAAACGAGGCCUGGGAGAGGGCAGGGAGGAGGGGAGAGGGGACGGUCAGGUGGGGUGUGGGGGAUUGCAAAACAAAGACACGCUCAUUUGCCAUUUACCAAAGACUUUUUUUUUCUUUUUCUUUUAAAGCUGUUGUUUCCUCAAGGGAAAACUUUAUCUGUGUGUGGGUAAAAUGUUGCUCUCUUAACGAAUCGAAAGCAGAACAUGAGG
rnacentral:lncRNA from 1 species